ensembl:lncRNA
GUCGUAUCCGACUCUUUGCGAUCCCAUGGACUGCACAGUCCGUGGAAUUCUCCAGGCCAGAAUACUGGACUGGGUAGCUGUUCCCUUCUCCAGGGGAUCUUCGCAACCCAGGGAUCGAACCCAGGUCUUCCGCUUGGCGGGCGGAUUCCUUAUCAGCUGAGCCGCAGGGAAGCCCCACCUGGCAGAUGGGCGGUCCUAAAAGCGCCUCUGUGGAGGGUUACGGGAUAGCAGUGACUGUUUGAUGCUCACUGUUCACAAAGGAAUAUAGUGACCUACCUAGAGGGAAGACGGAAAUACAUGAUAAUUCUGAGCAGAGAGACCAAAUGCUUAUUCUUUCGGGACGGAAGCAAAACAACUAGUGGCAAGCAACACAGGCUAAUUGCUUGAGGGAACCAUGAAAUAAUGCGCUGAGUGCUUAGUGCUUUACAAUGCUGCUUUUACUUAAGCCUCACAAUGACUUUUGAGCACAUGUUUUUGGAGAUCCAGCGUUUGACUGCACUUCUGGCUUGUUCCUCGUGGUCAACUUCCAUUGCCGUUGCUGUCACCUUCUGGAAGAACAGACUUCACCUUUGUGGUCCAGUUGGUGACGUCACUGAAAGAAGGGUCUAGUCAGGCAGGAACCCGAAGGAGGCCCUUUUUAAAGAAGGGAGAUCUGCAAUUUCCCAAACCCUGCAGUUCAGCAGUCUGGCUCUGUCUCAAAGUGUUAGAA